UGCAUGCGGAGCUGCUUCUUAUUUGGUACAACAGCGUCGCUUGUUUUCGAGAAAGUCCAUGGAUUACCCAUGCAUGGUGUGGAAACUUGUAGAUUGCCUUGAAAUGGUUGCGUAUCACAUCUUUGUUGUUCUGUAUUAUCUCAUACAAGAUGAUUUUUUGACUAGUAUAUAAAGCUUCCGUUGUCAGAGAGCCUGCACCGUUCUAGAGGAGAACACAACAGCAAGCACCAUGUGUCGCACUUCACUAGUCCUGACCUUCCUGCUGGUGGCUUUCGCUGCAAGUGUGCUAGGAAAGGGAAGCAAAAUGGAGAAGCGAAGACCUACGGGUCCAAGUUGGGGGGAACCGCAACAAGGACCGUGCAAGGCUUAUCUGCAUCGGUAUUACUGCAAGGAGAACGGUUGUAAGCUACACGUUGGCUGCUACACUAGAGGUGGAUUUCUUAGCAAAGACGCAUGCAGAAA
rnacentral:lncRNA from 1 species